GAUGAACGCUGACAGAAUGCUUAACACAUGCAAGUCUACUUGAACUUCGGUUUGGGUGGCGGACGGGUGAGUCACGCGUAAAGAACUUGCCUCACAGUUAGGGACAACAUUUGGAAACGAAUGCUAAUACCUGAUAUUAUGAUUUUAGGGCAUCCUAAGAUUAUGAAAGCUAUAUGCACUGUGAGAGAGCUUUGCGUCCCAUUAGCUAGUUGGAGAGGUAACGGCUCACCAAGGCGAUGAUGGGUAGCCGGCCUGAGAGGGUGAACGGCCACAAGGGGACUGAGACACGGCCCUUACUCCUACGGGAGGCAGCAGUGGGGAAUAUUGGACAAUGGACCAAAAGUCUGAUCCAGCAAUUCUGUGUGCACGAUGACGUUUUUCGGAAUGUAAAGUGCUUUCAGUUGGGAAGAAAAAAAUGACGGUACCAAGAGAAGAAGAGACGGCUAAAUACGUG
rnacentral:rRNA from 1 species